rnacentral:rRNA from 1 species
CCUACGGGAGGCAGCAGUGGGGAAUAUUGGGCAAUGGGCGCAAGCCUGACCCAGCAACGCCGCGUGAAGGAAGAAGUAUUUCGGUAUGUAAAGCUCUGUCAGCAGGGAAGAAAGCAAUGACGGUACCUGACCAAGAAGCCCCGGCUAACUACGUGCCAGCAGCCGCGGUAAUACGUAGGGGGCAAGCGUUAUCCGGAAUUACUGGGUGUAAAGGGAGCGUAGACGGCUGUGCAAGUCUGGAGUGAAAGGCGGGGGCCCAACCCCCGGACUGCUCUGGAAACUGUAUGGCUGGAGUGCAGGAGAGG